CCUGGGUCCUAACACAUGGUAACAUGCACGCUCUACUAGCUGUGUCACUGCCUGGCCCCUGUUUGGCUCCCUUCCUGGGCCCUCAGCCUCUGGAGACUUCUGGAAAGCAGACUCACCUCCCGCAGAGUGGGCAGGCAGAUGGGGGGGUGCGGCUCAGCCCCCUCAGCCCCCCUGUCAGCACAGAGCACCCUGGGGAGGGGGCAGCAGGCCUCCCGAGGCUGACAUGGCUCACUCCUCCGUGCUGCCCACACAGACAUGUGAUGUGCAUGGCCAGCUCUGUUUCUGAGCCUCUGAGUCACUCCAGAGAAGGGAUCCCUCUCCCCCUGGCUUCGUGUGACCCCCCCCCACCCCGGGCCUCUCCCUCCCUGAGCUCUGAUCUGCGGGCUGCAGAGGGAUCCCUGCGGACCAGCUGGAGGAGUGGAGCCGAGCAGCCCUAGGACAGAGGGGCUAGGGCUCUGAUGGCCCCCAGUCGCCCAGGCCAGCACCGCCCUCUCUCUCUGCCUCCACGCGGGCCCUCAUGUGAUGCGGGGCGUUCUCCAAACAGCAAGAGCCCUUGGAACAGAAACCUCGAAACAACUCAAGCCAUGUGGACGGGCUGACAUUAUUUUUCAGGCUGCAAGUGGAGACUGAACAUGACUUUCCAAGGCCAGCGCUCCUGGGCAGAGGCCAUCGAUCUGGUGCCCAGCCAGAAAGCCCAGGGGCACCGAGACCCACGAGCCGUGCAGGGGCCAGAUGCCCUCCAGGCCUGAGCCCGCAGCCCGCAGCCCGCAAGGCUGCAGGUCUGGCCUCACUCAGGAUGUGCCCGCACCAAUCCACCCCCAGCGGACAAGGACACUGCUCUCUGACUCCGCCGGGUGGUGACAACCCUUCCUUCCCGAUGCCAUGGACGUGUCACAACUCCUCAGGUGGCCCCCAGGCCCCCAGCCCCCAGCCAUUCUGCUCAGUCUGUGCUCCAGUCUACUCAGCUUCAGGGGAGCGUCUGUGACUUGCCACUUCCACAUCAUAGAGCCUUCUAGUGACCGGCCAUCGUUUCAGACUCUGCCCUGUGCCGGCUGCUGCUGAAACACUUGUAAAAUCUACCUCCCAGCGCCAGCAGAUGGCCAUGGUAAGGGCCUGGGUUCCAGCCCCCGGGCCCCACAGGGAAGCAGUGCUGUGCUAUCUCUCCUCCAGCCCUCUCCCCCUUACCUUUGUUCUUACUCUCUGCCUUUUUUUUUUCGAUAGAGACAGCCAGAAAUCAAGAGGGAAGGGGGAGAUAGAGAGGGAGAGAGACAGAGAGACACCUGCAGCCCUGCUUCACCACUCGUGAAGCUUCCCUCCUGCAGGUGGGGAGCCAGGGGUUCGAACCCU